rnacentral:rRNA from 1 species
ACGGGUGAGUAACACGUGAGCAACCUGCCCUGGACUCUGGGAUAAGCGCUGGAAACGGCGUCUAAUACUGGAUAUGAGCCCCUAUCGCAUGGUGGGGGUUGGAAAGAUUUUUUGGUCUGGGAUGGGCUCGCGGCCUAUCAGCUUGUUGGUGAGGUAAUGGCUCACCAAGGCGUCGACGGGUAGCCGGCCUGAGAGGGUGACCGGCCACACUGGGACUGAGACACGGCCCAGACUCCUACGGGAGGCAGCAGUGGGGAAUAUUGCACAAUGGGCGAAAGCCUGAUGCAGCAACGCCGCGUGAGGGAUGACGGCCUUCGGGUUGUAAACCUCUUUUAGCAGGGAAGAAGCGAACAUGACGGUACCUGCAGAAAAAGCGCCGGCUAACUACGUGCCAGCAGCCGCGGUAAUACGUAGGGCGCAAGCGUUAUCCGGAAUUAUUGGGCGUAAAGAGCUCGUAGGCGGUUUGUCGCGUCUGCUGUGAAAUCCCGAGGCUCAACCUCGGGCCUGCAGUGGGUACGGGCAGACUAGAGUGCGGUAGGGGAGAUUGGAAUUCCUGGUGUAGCGGUGGAAUGCGCAGA